GGCAGAGGAAGCCCGGCUCCCGUGGGCGUGCCCCUGGCGCGCCCAUGAGGAAAGUCCCCCCACCCUCCGGGCAGGUGACCGGGCGCAAGCCCGGAGCGGGAGACCGCUGGCGCUGGAACAGAAACGAGACCCCCCGCCCCGACCGAUGAGGCGCACGGGCCGCCACCGGCGGCCCGUGGCGCUCGUGGCCCCGCCGCGGGCGCGCGAACCGACCCGCGAGGGAAGGGAGCUAACCCGCCGAGGGUCGGGCGGCUCUGCCGCCAAUGUGCGAGCGGCGAGAGCCGCGAGCCGGGCGGCCGUGCCGCUAACGGGCGGGAACGGGUGGAACGGCGAAUCCUCACCGGUGCAAGCCCGCCGCCACAGGUAGCCCGGAGACGCGGCGGGCGCUCAGCCGAAUGCCGGGUCGAAACAGAAGGGGGCUUACUAUCCUCAGCC
rnacentral:RNase_P_RNA from 1 species